GACGAACGCUGGCGGCGUGCUUAAUACAUGCAAGUCGAGCGAGGUUACUGCGACAGAUCCCUUCGGGGUGAAGUUGCUUUAGCCUAGCGGCGGACGGGUGAGUAACGCGUGGGUAACCUACCCUAAAGUUCGGGAUAACAGCGGGAAACCGCUGCUAAUACCGGAUGCCUUUACCAUGUGGCAUCACAAGGUAAAGAAAGGUAACGCUUUAGGAUGGGCCCGCGUCCCAUUAGCUAGUUGGUGAGGUAACAGCUCACCAAAGCGACGAUGGGUAGCCGGCCUGAGAGGGUGGACGGCCACACUGGGACUGAGACACGGCCCAGACUCCUACGGGAGGCAGCAGUAGGGAAUAUUGCGCAAUGGACGGAAGUCUGACGCAGCGACGCCGCGUGAGCGAUGAAGGCCUUCGGGUCGUAAAGCUCUGUCCUUGGGGAAGAAGGUCUUCGGACUUGACGGUACCCAAGAAGAAAGCCCCGGCUAACUACGUGCCAGCAGCCGCGGUAAUACGUAGGGGGCGAGCGUUGUCCGGAAUUACUGGGCGUAAAGGGUGCGUAGGCGGCCCUUUAAGUCAGAUGUGAAAGCCCGCAGCUUAACUGCGGAAUUGCAUUUGAAACUGGAGGGCUUGAGUGUCGGAGAGGGUAGUGGAAUUCCCAGUGUAGCGGUGAAAUGCGUAGAUAUUGGGGAGGAACACCAGUGGCGAAGGCGACUGCCUGGACGAUAACUGACGCUGAGGCACGAAAGCUAGGGGAGCAAACAGG
rnacentral:rRNA from 1 species